rnacentral:pre_miRNA from 2 species
AGCUAAUACAAUUUAAGAACUGGAUAUGAUGACUGAAAUAAGCUCCAUAUCAACGAGAAUUUCGAUGGGAUUAUGUGCAGUCAAUGUCCAGUAAUUAGAAAAGCUAUC